rnacentral:rRNA from 1 species
CGGCGGACGGGUGAGUAAUGCCUAGGAAUCUGCCUGGUAGUGGGGGACAACGUUUCGAAAGGAACGCUAAUACCGCAUACGUCCUACGGGAGAAAGCAGGGGACCUUCGGGCCUUGCGCUAUCAGAUGAGCCUAGGUCGGAUUAGCUAGUUGGCGGGGUAAAGGCCCACCAAGGCGACGAUCCGUAGCUGGUCUGAGAGGAUGAUCAGCCACACUGGAACUGAGACACGGUCCAGACUCCUACGGGAGGCAGCAGGU